CUACGGGUCGCACCAGUGGGGAAUAUUGCACAAUGGGCGCAUGCCUGAUGCAGCCAUGCCGCGUGUAUGAAGAAGGCCUUCGGGUUGUAAAGUACUUUCAGCGGGGAGGAAGGGAGUAAAGUUAAUACCUUUGCUCAUUGACGUUACCCGCAGAAGAAGCACCGGCUAACUCCGUGCCAGCAGCCGCGGUAAUACGGAGGUGUGCAAGCGUUAAUCGGAAUUACUGGGCGUAAAGCGCACGCAGGCGGUUUGUUAAGUCAGAUGUGAAAUCCCCGGGCUCAACCUGGGAACUGCAUCUGAUACUGGCAAGCUUGAGUCUCGUAGAGGGGGGUAGAAUUCCAGGUGUAGCGGUGAAAUGCGUAGAGAUCUGGAGGAAUACCGGUGGCGAAGGCGGCCCCCUGGACGAAGACUGACGCUCAGGUGCGAAAGCGUGGGGAGCAAACAGGAUUAGAUACCCCUGUAGUC
rnacentral:rRNA from 1 species